ACAGAUGAAGUGGUUGCUGACUUGUUUAUGUAUGACCGUUAAAAAAACUGUAUAUAAACAUACUUGAUGUAAUUUAGGAUUAACAAUAUUGACAAACUCACCAUAUAAUGUUAUAAAUAGAUUGGGAUUUUCUUAUGACAUGUAACAUUGAAAGGAAAACACCAUUUAAGUUUCUAUUUUAUUUUUAUACACUGCCUUGAACUUCACAUAUAUAUCAACGUUUAAUGUAAAUUGGUUCAUUGGAGAGCGAUUAUUUAAUGCAGACAGGACGAACAAAUUUAUCUCAGAUUAUGGAUGGAAACAACCCUGUUGCUUUUACUAGACAUGGAAGUACCAGGCCAAUUGAUGAAGAUGAAUUUAACAUAGAAAACAGAUGUGGCGCCUCGUGUGGCGCACGUAUAAUUGAUUCUGAUGACAGCGACGAAAACAUCAAUCUAUUGCAAAAACAACAACCAACGUCAGAAACGACAGCAAAUACGAAUCUUUCCAAGAAUGCUGGAAUGACACAUGGUACAAGUUGUCAGAAUCACUCCGCUAAAAGUCUUAAAGUCCUCAACCCGCGAGAUGAUAUUGAUAGUGAAACACAUGUAAGCACUAACAUUCACGUCAAGUCAAAUAGCUCAGACGAAAACAGUAGUGACGAAAAAGAGCUAUCUUCGAAAAAACAAAGUAUUGCAAAACGAUGCAAAGGAUUGUCUCUUUAUAUAUUUGUAGUUCUACUAAAUGCAAUAGUUAGUGUUGCAGUAAGUGUUGGACUGUAUUACUUUAUAGAUUAUGUAAAUGGCACACGCCAUGUUUCAGCACAGGAACCUUUGUUUGUCAAUUUGAAGGUCAACUUCGAUUCAUACAAUCAAAAUAUUCAAAACACGUCCGGUAAAAUUCCACGGACAUUCCUCGCCGCAUCAUUUCUCAUAUUAGACAAAACCGGCACAAAUAUAACGGUGCUCCAGCCUGGAUCCUAUUCAAUCGAUGUAUCGUUGAAUUUUGAUAACAGACGAAAUAAAGACCCAAACCCUAUAUCUAUGUGUAUUUUAAACAGUAUAGACAGUUCUUACGAACGGUGCACCCCUGAAGUUAUUCCAGCAUGCAUACAAAGGUCUGUGACUGUUAGUGUCGAUCUGAACUUAAAAAAAAGGCGGUAGUAUCUGGGUCAAUGUUAAGGGAGUAAAUCUUGUCUAUCAACGUUCUAAUGUAAACCACAUGACGAUUAGAAAAUAUGACUAGUAGAAAGAAUAACUAUAUUAAUGCUGGUAGGUCGAUGUAUAUAGGCUAACCUGUCAUGGCGGUGUCGUGGACUUACAAUAACAAUCAAAGUUGUUUCAGAGAAGAGUCAAGGAGUAGAAUUACAGUUUACAUGAAUUGACUUGAUGACGAAUUGCUGUCGAAACGUUGUUUCGUUGCUUUGUACCACCAGUAUAAUAGUCAUUGGUACAACGAAAACCAUUUCAGAGAAGAGUCCAGGAGUAGAAUUUCAGGAUACAUGAAUUGACUUUAUGGCGAAUAUCAGUAGAAACGUUGUUCCGUUGCUUUGCGUUUUGUGGAGUGCGUGAAUGAUUUAAGAGUCUUGUAUUAAUACACCAACUGGUUGUUUUAGACGUUUCAAAAAUACUGCAUUUAUAGUCAUUGGUCUAAUUUCACAUCCCCAAAACUUGUCCAAAAAUUAAUUACUUCGCUCAAACGUGUCCGAUUUUUUCAUCUCACAAACGUUUCCGACAGUUGUUAUCCACCGAAACUUGUUCACUUUUUAAAAGACGCAAAAAGGUCUCUAAUCUUUUUAGCGCUAAUAUGUUCAUUUUGACGACAGUAACGUCUACGGCAAAUUUAAAGAUGAAGUGUUGUCGGAAAAAAGCUCUUGAGAGCUUGUGUUUUAUAUGUUUUGAAAACCCGAUUUUAAAUAAAAUAUUUUUUUUCUAUCUUAUCUUAGCCAGGUUUCAGCUUGGGUCCAAACACAAAAAAAGUAUGAAAACUGCUAUUCAAUGACAUUAACACAGAGGUAUUUAGGGCACAACUCCCGGGGAUUAAAAGAGUUUCUGAGUUAAAAAAGAAAUCAAUUAGAUUGCAGAGACAUUCAGCAGGUGCAUACACUAAAGGUUAUGAAAAAAAAAAUACAAAAUUUAGUUUUUGACAAGAAAUUCAGACAUGUAUACAGUGAAAAUUUUUAAUGUUGGUCACAGUUGUAAAAAUAUUUCAUCCAUAUCCAUGACGAAUAUAGAAAUUAAAAACUGCAAAAAUAUUGUUCAUUGCCGUAGGCAUUCAUCAUACAGAUGAGUUAUUAUACUAGUAUUUUAUUUUUGUACAGUUGAUAUCAAUGUUUAUUGAUGCUAUUCGUGUGUGCUAAUAUAUUAAUAGUUUGGACUCGAGCAUCACUGAAGAUACUUUUAUCGUCGAAAUGCCCAUCUAAUUCAACAGUAGAAGGUGGUGGUGUUAAACGUUCUUAACAGCAAGCAAUGCAAUGCUGUAAGUCGGACUACACAAAAACUUCUUUCUAUUAAGAAGGGGUUAAAUUCCCUACGUAAUCCUACGUAAUCGAACUGUUUGGUACAAAGUGAAGGAAAAUUGGUACAUUUGGUGUUUUAAAACAGUAUAAGUGUUAAAGAUGUUUUUUUUAAAUAAAUAUUUAACUUUACAAUAUAAAAUUUGUGUAUUUCUUAAAAUAAUAAGAAUUAAAAACCAAUUGUUCAGAGAACAAUUGAAGGUCUUUCCACAUUAAAUAUCUAAAUAAUU